rnacentral:rRNA from 5 species
CCAAACCGUAUGCGUGUGAUACCCGGCAGGGGUUGCGCAUGCGGGGUUGUGGGAAUGAGCUUGAUCGGUCUGCCGGCCGGUCGGCGAGUCAGAAACCGUAUGGAUAGGCGAAGGACAUGCGAAAGGUCCGGCGUAGAGGGUAAGACCCCCGUAGCUGAAAUCUGUACGGCUUGCUUGCUCAUCUCCCAAGUAGCACGGGGCCCGAGAAAUCCCGUGUGAAUCUGGCGGGACCACCCGCUAAGCCUAAAUAUUCCCUGGUGACCGA